UGAGGAAUAUUGGUCAAUGGACGGAAGUCUGAACCAGCCAUGCCGCGUGAAGGAUGAAGGCGUUCUGCGUUGUAAACUUCUUUUAUUUAGGAAGAAACCACCGAUUUCUAUUGGUGUUGACGGUAUUAAAUGAAUAAGCACCGGCUAACUCCGUGCCAGCAGCCGCGGUAAUACGGAGGGUGCGAGCGUUAUCCGGAUUUACUGGGUUUAAAGGGUGCGCAGGCGGUCUUAUAAGUCCGGGGUGAAAUACUACAGCUCAACUGUAGAACUGCCUUGGAUACUAUAGGACUUGAAUCGAGUAUAGGUCAGCGGAAUACAACAUGUAGCGGUGAAAUGCAUAGAUAUGUUGUGGAACACCGAUUGCGAAGGCAGCUGACUGGGCUUGAAUUGACGCUCAGGC
rnacentral:rRNA from 1 species